rnacentral:rRNA from 1 species
GGGGAAUAUCGCACAAUGGGCGAAAGCCUGAUGUAGCAACGCCGCGUGAGUGAUGAAGGUCUUCGGAUUGUAAAGCUCUGUCUUUGGGGACGAUAAUGACGGUACCCAAGGAGGAAGCCACGGCUAACUACGUGCCAGCAGCCGCGGUAAUACGUAGGUGGCGAGCGUUGUCCGGAUUUACUGGGCGUAAAGGAUGCGUAGGCGGAUGUUUAAGUGAGAUGUGAAAUUCCCGGGCUUAACUUGUGAGCUGCAUUUCAAACUGGAUAUCUAGAGUGCAGGAGAGGAGAAUGGAAUUCCUAGUGUAGCGGUGAAAUGCGUAGAGAUUAGGAAGAACACCAGUGGCGAAGGCGAUUCUCUGGACUGUAACUGACGCUGAGGCAUGAAAGCGUGGGUAGCAAAC